CAGUAGCCGCGGUAAUACGUAGGUGGCAAGCGUUGUCCGGAAUUAUUGGGCGUAAAGGGCUCGCAGGCGGUUUCUUAAGUCUGAUGUGAAAGCCCCCGGCUCAACCGGGGAGGGUCAUUGGAAACUGGGAAACUUGAGUGCAGAAGAGGAGAGUGGAAUUCCACGUGUAGCGGUGAAAUGCGUAGAGAUGUGGAGGAACACCAGUGGCGAAGGCGACUCUCUGGUCUGUAACUGACGCUGAGGAGCGAAAGCGUGGGGAGCGAACAGGAUUAGAUACCCCUGUAGUCCCUGUCUCUUAACA
rnacentral:rRNA from 1 species